UCGUAUCUCUUACCGUUCAAACCGAAUUCAAAGUUUAAACUAUAAAAAUUUUGAAUUUAUAAAUGUAGGCUUGAAACAUGUUUACUUAAAUUUAAUUAUGGAAAAAUUUCAAAUUUUAUAAUCAUUUUGAUACUUCAGUUGCAUAAUGUACUUAUGAUAAAUUCUUACGUAAUGCUAUGAUUAUCGAGCAAAACGUAAAAAUCCUCGGAGUUAAUUUCAAUAAUAAUUAUCAACUACUAUCAGAUAAGAUACGUUUUCCCAGGUAUAUCAAGACUUGUUUCAUCAUUUAAACACCAGUAUAGUAGCGGUUUUGCACGUUAACAUACGUUUCGUUGGAAAUUUAUUUAUAUAAAAGUUAGAUCCUCCAAUUUUUUGCAAAAAAAUGAGAAAUCACAGAUCUAUUUGUCAUCAUGACAAUUUUCUUCAUGGACAUCAUGGACAUCACGGACAUCACGGACAUCAUGGACGUCACGGACCACAUGGACAUCAUGGACAUCAUGGACAUCACGGACCACAUGGACAUCACG